CCUACUGUGUGCUUCAGUGGGGGAUAUUGCACAAUGGGGGAAACCCUGAUGCAGCGACGCCGCGUGUGGGAAGACGGUCCUCUGGAUUGUAAACCACUGUCCCCAGGGACGAAGAUGACGGUCCCUGGGGAGGCAGCUCCGGCUAACUACGUGCCAGCAGCCGCGGUAAUACGUAUGGUGCACGCGUUAUCCGGAUUUACUGGGGGUACAGGGAGCGCAGGCGGCACGGCAAGCCUGAUGUGAAAGCCCGCGGCCCAACCGCGGGACUGCAUUGGGAACUCCCGGGCUGGCGUGCCGGAGAGGUAGGCGGAAUUCCUAGUGUAGCGGUGAAAUGCGUAGAUAUUAGGAGGAACACCAGUGGCGAAGGCGGCCUGCUGGACGACAACUGACGGUGAGGCGCGAAAGCGUGGGGAGCAAACAGGAUUAGAUACCCGUGUAGUC
rnacentral:rRNA from 1 species